rnacentral:rRNA from 1 species
UACGGGGGGAGCAAGCGUUGUUCGGAUUUACUGGGCGUAAAGGGCGCGUAGGCGGUCAGCACAAGUCAGUUGUGAAAUCUCCGGGCUUAACUCGGAAAGGUCAACUGAUACUGUGCGACUAGAGUGCGGAAGGGGCAACUGGAAUUCUCGGUGUAGCGGUGAAAUGCGUAGAUAUCGAGAGGAACACCUGCGGCGAAGGCGGGUUGCUGGGCCGACACUGACGCUGAUGCGCGGAAAGCCAGGGGAGCGAACGGG